UUGCACAUUAACACCAUUCUGGUUCCUUCCACUAUCGUCAACAAAUGGACCACUCACAUGAACCCAUCAACACAAUUGAAGAAGGAGCUAAAAAGGCUUUAACAUGGCUAGUAUUACGACCAUUUGACGUCAGAUGAAAGUAUGUUUGGAGUAAUGCUUGUAAGAGAAUGGAUGCUAUCAGUAUAUCAACUUUACAAUAAUGUCACUCUAUGAUUGAGCCUGCGAUUUUCUCAUAAUGGAUAUCAGUCGUCAGUUCAAAUCAAUCUAACGAACUUCAUCUUUGUAUGCAGACUUUGUCUUUGGAAGUCUCAGCUGCUCAAUAUCAUGAUGGAGCACACUUCUUUGUGAAAAAUUCCUCUACUUUGAAUCAUUUCUAUGGUGGGCCUUUCAAAAGCAUAAAGAUUUCGGAAUUCUUUUGAAAGUUUGAAAUGGAAUGUCUAGAGACAGUCCUUCCAAAUGUUAUUUUGUGAUAAGAAGAUUUGUUAAAGUGCAUUUUUAAUCUCCACAACCCUUGAUUAUUGCUUCAAAAAGGGACAAAAAGAACACAAAGCUGAAGUUUAUUGUACAUAUCAAAUCACUUUUGCAGGUUCAUCUAGUUCCUUCCGCACACAUUAAUCAAAGCUUUUUUAACACCCCCAGCAAGAUCGUCAUGAUGAUAUCAUCUCCAUCUAGGCUAAUUUGCAGUGAAUUUACAUUUUGCUUUUAAUAUAAAAAGCAACAGUGGAGAUGGGUACCUCUAUCCAAGGCUCUGAUGUCACUCUUGCUUCAGAAAUUACGUUGAAUUUCUAA